rnacentral:ribozyme from 1 species
AAAUUUUGUAUUUGUUUCGUAAACACUCUUGCAAUAACAAAAAGGGAAAAGAAGAACAAUUCAAGUAUUCGCUGGUUGGAUAUACAACACUCUUUCAUUUUUAUGCACCGUUUAAAAAACCAAAA